rnacentral:rRNA from 1 species
ACGAACGCUGGCGGCGUGCUUAACCCCUGCAAGUCGAACGGAAAGGCCUGCUUUCCCUUGUGGAUUGCGGGUACUCGAGUGGCGAACGGGUGAGUAACACGUGAGUGAUCUGCCCCCAACUUGGGUAUAAGCCUGGGAAACUGGGUCUAAUUCCCGAUAGGACUGCAGGGUGGUGCCUGUGGUGGAAAACGAUUUUCUAGUGGUUGGGGAUGAGCUCGCGGCCUAUCAGCUUGUUGGUGGGGUAAUGGCCUACCAAGGCGGCGACGGGUAGCCGGCCUGAGAGGGUGGACGGCCACAUUGGGACUGAGAUACGGCCCAGACUCCUACGGGAGGCAGCAGUGGGGAAUAUUGCACAAUGGGCGGAAGCCUGAUGCAGCGACGCCGCGUGGGGGAUGACGGCCUUCGGGUUGUAAACUCCUUUCGACCGCGAGGAAGCCACCUGGUUGGAAGGGUGGUGACGGUAGUGGUAGAAGAAGCACCGGCUAACUACGUG